GAUGAACGCUGGCGGCGUGCUUAACACAUGCAAGUCGAACGAAGCACUUUAUUUGAUUUCCUUCGGGACUGAUUAUUUUGUGACUGAGUGGCGGACGGGUGAUUAACGCGUGGGUAACAUGCCUUGUACAGGGGGAUGACAGUAGGAAACGGCUGCUAAUACCGCAUAAGCGCACGGCAUCGCAUGAGGCAGUGUGAAAAGCUCCGGUGGUAUAAGAUGGACCCGCGUUGGAUUAGCUAGUCGGUGAGGUAACGGCCAACCAAGGCGACGAGCCAUAGCCGAGCUGAGAGGGUGCCCGGCCACAUUGGGACUGCGACACGGCCCAAACUCCUACGGGAGGCAGCAGUGUGUAAUAUUGCAGAAUGGGCGAUGGCCCGAUGCAGCCACGCCGCGUGAGCGAAGAAUCAGUUCGGUAUGUAAUGCUCUAUGAGCAGAGAAGAUAGUGACGGUACCUGACUAAGAAGCACCGGCUAACUACGUG
rnacentral:rRNA from 1 species